CGAACGGGUGAGUAACGCGUGAGGAACCUGCCUCAAAGAGGGGGACAACAGUUGGAAACGACUGCUAAUACCGCAUAAGCCCACGGCUCGGCAUCGAGCAGAGGGAAAAGGAGCAAUCCGCUUUGAGAUGGCCUCGCGUCCGAUUAGCUAGUUGGUGAGGUAAUGGCCCACCAAGGCGACGAUCGGUAGCCGGACUGAGGGGUUGAACGGCCACAUUGGGACUGAGACACGGCCCAGACUCCUACGGGAGGCAGCAUG
rnacentral:rRNA from 1 species